rnacentral:rRNA from 1 species
UACGUAGGGUACUAGCGUUGUCCGGAAUUAUUGGGCGUAAAGAGCUCGUAGGUGGUUUGUCGCGUCUGCUGUGGAAAGGUGCCGCUUAACGGUGCGCGUGCAGUGGGUACGGGCGGACUAGAGUGCAGUAGGGGAGUCUGGAAUUCCUGGUGUAGCGGUGAAAUGCGCAGAUAUCAGGAGGAACACCGGUGGCGAAGGCGGGACUCUGGGCUGUUACUGACGCUGAGGAGCGAAAGCAUGGGGAGCGAACAGG